rnacentral:lncRNA from 1 species
AGGGAGUCAGGAGAAUGACCAUCCAGAAGAAGAUCCAUGUCUGCCACAGGACUCGUCUGGUAUGUUUUGUGGCUUUCCUUGUUUGGAGAAUGAAGAUUGGAGUUCACAGAUGUGCACAGAGGAGGCUGCUCAUGUGUCUGAUAGUACAGAGGCAC